CGUAGGGUGCAAGCGUUGUCCGGAUUUAUUGGGUUUAAAGGGUGCGUAGGCGGCCCUGUAAGUCAGUGGUGAAAUACUCCAGCUUAACUGGAGGGGUGCCAUUGAUACUGCAGGGCUUGAGUUAAGUUGAAGUUGGCGGAAUUGACGGUGUAGCGGUGAAAUGCUUAGAUAUCGUCAAGAACACCGGUAGUGAAGACAGCUAACUAAACUUUUACUGACGCUGAGGCACGAAAGUGUGGGGAUCAAACAGGAUUAGAUACCCUGGUAGUCCACACUGUAAACGUUGAUUACUCGCUGUGUGCGAUAUACAGUACGCGGCCAAGCGAAAGCGAUAAGUAAUCCACCUGGGGAGUACGCCGGCAACGGUG
rnacentral:rRNA from 1 species